GAUGAACGCUGGCGGCGUGCCUAAUACAUGCAAGUCGAGCGAACAGACGAGGAGCUUGCUCCUCUGACGUUAGCGGCGGACGGGUGAGUAACACGUGGAUAACCUACCUAUAAGACUGGGAUAACUUCGGGAAACCGGAGCUAAUACCGGAUAAUAUAUUGAACCGCAUGGUUCAAUAGUGAAAGACGGUUUUGCUGUCACUUAUAGUUGGAUCCGCGCCGCAUUAGCUAGUUGGUAAGGUAACGGCUUACCAAGGCAACGAUGCGUAGCCGACCUGAGAGGGUGAUCGGCCACACUAGAACUGAGACACGGUCCAGACUCCUACGGUAGGCAGCAGUAGGGAAUCUUCCGCAAUGGGCGAAAGCUUGACGGAGCAACGCCGCGUGAGUGAUGAAGGUCUUCGGAUCGUAAAACUCUGUUAUUAGGGAAUAACAAAUGUGUAAGUAACUAUGCACGUCUUGACGGUACCUAAUCAGAAAGCCACGGCUAACUACGUG
rnacentral:rRNA from 1 species